GAAAUGAUUGGUCCCGGCGGAGAGAUACACCUUCAUUGGUGUUGCAUUCGAAGUGGUGUCGCCAAGAACCUUUGAGUUGGCACAGCGGCACGGCUGCGGCUGGCUUACUGUUGGUCGCAGUCGUCCCUCCCGAGGCCCGUCCGUGUUCGUUACCGUGAAUAACACGAUGUGUUCAAAGCAACCGACUUGUCGGCCGAACGUUCGUAGCAUGGGACAACAGAGCAUCGACCGGUGAGCUCUGCGUCUGGCCAUCUUCAAAGCCCAUCCUCGGGCAAUACGUCACGCGCCCUGCGGUGUGGAUCCCUGUCUGCGGCGUGGGGGCCGUUCUGGGUCAAACCGGAGUAGUUCUCGACCCCUCCCAGGGUCCGCAUCCAGGCGUGUGUUCGAUCGGCAGAGAGGAGCCCCGCCGGGGUCAUUCGUAUUGUGGCACGAGAGGUGAAAUUCUUAGACUGCCAUAGGACGACCUGCCGCGAAGGCAAUUCACCAGACGGUGUUUGUCAAUCAAGAACGAGAGUGUGGGGAUCGAAGAUGAUCAGAUACCGUCGUAGUCCACGACUGUAAACUGUGCCAGCUCAGCGUUGGGUUGGUUCUGUUGUAAUAACGAAUCUCCCAGCACUUCUUCCCCAUACCGAGAAAUCCAGAGCUUCUGGGUUCAGGGGGAAGUACUGUCGCAAGGCUGAAACUUAAAGGAAUUGACGGAUUGACACCACCAGGCGUGGAUUAUGCGGCUUAAUUUGACCCAACACGGGGAAUCUUACCAGGUCAGGACAAUGCCUGGAUUGACAGAUUGACAGCUCUUUCUUGAUUCGUUGGACGGUGGUGCAUGGCCGUUCUUGGUUGGUGCUGUGAUGUGUCUGGUUCAUUCCGAUAACGAGCGAGAUGCCUGCCUCUCAAUAGACGCCGCUGUCGAAUCUGUAGGGAGGAUCGCGUCAUGGUCCCAUGCGGGCCUCGGUUCGUGUGGUGCCCGUGGCCAACACCAUCCUCCCGAGACGGUGUGCAGCUUCUCCGAGGGACCCGUUGGGGAUUCUCAACCCUCACGAAGAUAGUGUGCAACAGCAGGUCUGUGAUGCUCCUAGAUGUCCUGGGCUGCACGCGCAAGACAAUGGUGCAGAAAGCAAGCAAAACCACUCUGUGCGGACUGCGGUUCGCCUCAGUGGUCCGGCCUUGACAGGGGUCGGCAAUCUGUGAGCCUGUGAACCGUGCUGGGGAUCGAGGAUUGUAACUGUUUGCCGUGAACGAGGAAUGCCUAGUAGGUGCAGGUCAUCAGCCUGCUCCGAUUACGUCCCUGCCAAUUGUACACACCGCCCGUCGUUGCUACCGAUGAUGUGGUGACAGAAGGCAACAGAGGUUCCGAGAUCGGAAGAGCACACGUCUGAACUCCA
rnacentral:rRNA from 1 species